AGAAAAACGAGUCGACGUCGAGGACCGCCGAGAAAUCAAUAUCGCCGAAAUCAUUCGUCCGAGACGUCCCUCUUACGUCGUCGGGCCGACGGAACACUUUGAUAACGCAAUUUUCCUGCGAGCCUCUCCCGGGAGGGGGGCCAAGAAUCGUCGAAAAAGAAGCAUCCCCUACGCGCACGGGGAGAGUCUUCACUGGAGAGUAGAAAACGGACAGAGAUGUAAGUCGACGAGCAGUUGGAGACGCGUGGAUGUUCAGGCGAGGGUUGGAAGCGAGGCAGCUGCGAGGUCUCUCGCGGGGGUGGGGUUGGGAAGGAAGAGAAACCGCGACGUGGUGCCAGCCGUCGUGGGAGAGAAAAAGACGUCCUGGAUCGUGGAGAAAGAACUCUUAAAAAAUGCCAGCAUUAUUACAAACAUUUUCUUAGCAUUUGUUUAGAACGCACAAAAUUUUCAUGGUCUUAAAACGAUAGAACUAAUUAAAACUCCUUCUUUUAACCCUCUAUGGACUCGUGUAACCUUCAGAUUCCAUGCUAACUGAUCGAUAUUUUAUGAAAUAAUUUUAGUUUUUUCGCAAGGUGACGCGUUGACAUCAAUCUGAAAUGUCAAAAUAAAUGUCUUACAAAUUGUCUCCAGAAACAAUAAGUUGGUCCAUAGAGGGUUAAGGGUAAUCUACAGAGUUAUGGAAGAAAAUAUGGCCCUUUAUAUAUGUCGAUAUUUCUCCACUUCUGUGUUAAAUUUUUUUUAGAAAAUUUAAUGGUAACAGGUUUUGUGAUUCUUAGACAAAUCGUUGCUGAGAUGUGCAACAAACACAGGCCAACAUAGAUACAUAUGCACAUACACGCACAUAGGAUUUCGUAUUCCAUUCUUCUUCCAUUCCAUAAAUGUAAUUACAACAAAUAUGAGAGUACUAUGUCAAACAGAAUUCUCUGAAACAUCAAUCCUGGUAUUUGCAUUAAAUCAAGCCAUACAUGCACGUACUAAUACACAAACAUACGUUCAUAAUCGAUUUUUUCGUUAUCACAAAUUCAAUAGCUUGAAUGGAGGAUUAUACAUGCACGUAUAUAUAAAUUACCAUAUCGAGAUACCUGAUAUUUUGAUAAACUACUAAUAAUAAAGUAUAAAAUUGAACAAAGGGGAACAGACACACAUCCAGACGCGCACGCUAUAUAAAAUUUCAUAGUGAUCUACCAAACAACUCCCGCGAAUACGCUAAAUCAGGCCAAACGUACACAUAUUAAAACAUAUAUACAUAAUCAUAAAUUCAAUCAUAAAUUCAAUUUAGCAAUUUUCACGAAUCUCCUACAAGCAACACCAGACAUACACAAUCAAACAAAUUCCACCAUACGCCACACAUGCACCCAUUAAAGCACACAGUAUCCUAUAACCAAUACCUCUUUAAUCACAAUUUCAAUUUACCAAAAUUCACGCUACUCCCACAAACAUCUCCUGACGUACGGAAUUAAACAAUCGCGAACAUAUUUCCACCUCUCGCGAACAGAAUUUGGUUACCAAUUUUCCUAGCAAUUUUUCGACACGCGAGAGCACCCCGAGAACCCUCCAAAAUGCAACAAAAUGGGACCGCGGGGAGUAACGAAUUUCGACAGCAAUACUUCGCUAGUGUCGAGUAACAAUCGGUAAAGAUGAAAAAAAAAAAACAAAAAUAGUCGGAGAAAAUACAGACAGGGAAGAGGAUAGGUAGAGGGUUUUGCGAACAGGCUGACUAGAGCGACGAGGAGAGGGAGAGGGUGUGGGCAGAGAGGACAGGCGGCUUGGUUAGGGGUAGGUGGUAUCGCUGGCGGAGGGUGGAGAAGGACCUGCGCGCGAAUUUCCCGCGUUCGCUCAACCUCAUAUUGAUCCCACCCCAGUAACUCCCCGCAUCCUACUAUAACGGGCUGGCUAGGGGUCGUGGAGACGUGCCGUGGGGCCAGGGGGGGUGGACCAGGGGAGUGUGGGUGGUGGUUCGUCGGCGUAUACACAGUACAGGGGAGAAUACGGCGAAGGGAAUCAGAGAAUCGUGGACUUCGGGGUGGUCCAGCGCGUAGUCGUGGUGCUCGAGCGUCGAAAUCCGCGUCGUCCUGCGAAGGUGUCCUGAUCGCGUCGGUUGUAUCAUCGCGAAUCGUGCUACCGGGUCCCAGGAUAUCGGUGACACGCGUGUUUCUGGUAUCUCUGUGAGAUCGGUCGGGCCAGUGAUCGACGGGAGAAAAGGUUACCGUGAUUCGAAGGAGACUGGCCGAGUGAAAGGAGAGGAAGACGUCCGGAGAGAAGAGUUGCCAGCAGAGCCGAUCACCGGUGACUCGUUUCGUUCUCUCGAAGAUCAAAAGUGAAAUAGUAAUUGCCACGUCGACUAACGAUCCUCCCGCGGAAUAAUGCGAAUCCCCUGAUCGAGAGACAUCCCAAACGCGAGAACUAACGAGCAUAUCGGGGGCGUGGAAGCGCGUAAAAAUAGAGAUCGAACAUUUUUCCGCGAUGAUUCGAUGCGCGAGUUGAAGAGAAUCCAUGGGUCAAGCCAUUCUCCUAUGAUUCCAUUCCGCGUACGAAAAUAUCCACACGAAGAGAGCGACGCGAUAAAGACGUGAAAAACGAGCCGACGAUCCCCCCAAAUGGAAGAACUGGUGUUUUCGCUCAACGUCAUCCGAUAUCCCAGCCAUCAGUCAGCGAAGUCCCUGCAGUGAAGGUUUCCAUGUCUCUCCGAGCAAGCGUCCCAAUACCCUUAGCUUCCAAGUUGUUUCAAAUGGUCCAAACGCACUGGUAGUUAGUGGACAACUCCCAAAACUGAUACGCGAAGAUCGCGAGGCUGGAUCGUUCAGA